CGAUCUGCAGGCGCAGCGCGUGUCGCAAGUGAGUUUUUGUCGUCGAGUAGAAGAAGUCGAAUUCUUCGACAGAACGCGGCGACACGGCUACGACGUGAAAUCGUUCAUUGUGCAGAGAAAAUAAACCGGCUCGAGGCGCCUGGUGGCGGAAUAAACGAUCCGAUUGAAUAAAAAUUUUCAAAA